rnacentral:lncRNA from 1 species
AAAAAAAAGAUAAACGUUUACCUGAGAAAAAAAACGGAAAAACGAAGAAAAAAAAAUCGCCGACUGCCGACUGGUACAACAGAUCGAGGAAAUUGUCGAUUUCUCUCCGAGCUAAUUCAAGAUGGAUUCAGUUGAUCAAUUUUGAUUCUAUUUUCCGAUCAUGUAAUCGAAUCUACAAGAUGGCCGGUGAACAUGCUCCGAUUUGAAACAUGUUUCUUCUAAAUCCCUAGGUAAGAUCUUCUCCUUUGUUUCUUAUCUCUUGUAGAUAUAGAUUUCUUCGAUUUGAAAUCAAAAUUAAUUGUAUCUAGAGCUAGAUUGAUUUAGGCAAUCAAGAAAGAACAUGUUGCAUCUCUUAAUAAUACACAUACGGUAGUAUACAAAUAUAAGAGUUCAUUAUCAUCUUGGAUACAUAAUUCAUAUGGUCAGACUUGAAUAUAAAACUAACAAUUGUUUUGCAUUAUAGGUGAUUACUGCCAUGGAUAUACAAUUAACUCACGUACCGGCACUAAUGGCUUAUCUCCCGAGAGCAGACAAUUAAUGUUAGUACUUUAACAUUAACAUUCUAGAUAAAAUCAGAUUUUUUUCGAUGAUUGUUUGCAGCUGUAAUAUGAUUUAACAUUGUUGUCUGGAUCUUAUAUGAGAGCAUAAUGAAAAUAGAAUUCUAAAAAGAGAAAAUGAAAAAAACAUGAAAGUAUUAUAGUGUCAACAAUUGGAAAAAUUAUCAUUUAGAUGGUAAUCCACAGUAUCACUUCUAAUCCUUGGAGUCGUUGUACCAUCAACGAUCUUGUUAACAAUUUGAAAAAGUAAAAGUGAUUAUAUAUAUAUAUAGAUAUAUAUAUAUAUAUUAGCCGUUUUAAAAUAGUAGAGAAUAUCAAAAAGAAAGGGAAAAUGAAUCGGUAUACUAAUAUAUUCUUAGUGUAGAUUAUGAUAAUGAUUGCUUAUGGAGUGAAUUAUGUAUUAUUUAAGUUGAAAAAUCCUAGAUUCUGGUGUGAUGUCUGCAAGAUAAUCAAAGAAAAUGAAACAAAACAAUAAAAUUGCAAACUUCAACUCCAAAACAUAACACCAAAAUUAAUUCACUCCUCAAUCUUGACCUUAAGACCAAGCAGCUUCUUUGAGUCUACCAUCUUCUCCGUAAUGUUCACAUCUUCCUUCUGCUCACCAUCAUUUUGUAUUGUUUUCAUGUAUGCAGGAUCCUCAAUUGAAACACGCUAUGCAAACUUGUACGGUAAAACAUCUCUAGAGGUAUGCAAAAUAAAUAUCUUGCUAGAUAGAUAAGAAUUCAGAGGGAUCGUUUAGAAUGAGAAAAAUUGUGGUUGUGGUAAUUGUUGGGUAGAGAUUGUUAUUUAUAGAGGAGAUUCUUAGUCUAAGGUUUUGGUAGCGUCGGUUUCAGGAUAUCUUGGAGAGCAAGCUGAAAAAUCAUAGAUACGAAUCAAAAAUUAGAAUGAUCCACGCAUGUUUAAGGGAAGAUUGCAAAAUCAUUAUAUAAC